ACCUUGUUUUUUUUAGUUAUCUAGAAAUAGUUAUUAAAUAUUUUUUAUUUUUUUUAUUUUACAUUUUUAUAAAAAAAAAAAAAAAAGUAAAUGGAAUUACACCACCUCAUCACAAAAUGACAAAACUUCAUAACAAAUCUUAUCAAAAUGGGAAGGGGUCACGUUUUUGGAAAAUUUUAUUGUUAGGGGGUGGGUCCCACAUAAAAUAAAAAAUAAUAAAAAAAAGGUGGAAACACGUGAAAAGAGGGGAGCAUCUUUCCGUUUUAGGGGCUCCGGCUCCAUUUUUUUUCUUUGAUAGAGAUAAGCAUACACAGAUAGAGACAAAAGGAAGCAUACACAGAUAGCGGGAAUUUUUCUGGAUAGGAGGGAUUAUUAUAAAAAGAAAGAUGAUAGAUCAUCUUCUUCAUUUUUUUUCCCCACUAAAAACCGUGACCCACCACCUCCACCACCUCCAUUCCUUUCCACCAUCUCCCUCCACCCCAUUCACCACCGUUAAACCAUCCCUUUCUGCCUGAUCCACCACCGUUUCUCAACCACCACGUCACCAACGUCGUAACCCACCUGAAACCGGUCACCAAAAAAUCAUAAGACCACCAUAGAAAAACACAUACAACACCAAACAGAUCCUUAAACCCCCCAUUUUAAACCAGCACCAAAACCCAAAAACUCGAAAACCCGUCUCCAUUUUCUCAAAAAUCGCCCGCUCAACUUGAGCAAAAGAAAAAAAAAGAGUUAAAUGCUGUUAAGUUAGUCGAUUCAUCGUCUGUUCGUUGGGAUUUCGCGUUGAGGUCAUCGGAUUCCGGUCAAGGCGUCGCGUCAUUUGUUCCGUUCGAUUGGAAGUUUUGGGUAAAAUUAAUUCAAAAAUGGAGAUUUUGAUUAGGGACACUGGGGCUGGUUAUAAAUUCAGAUUAAUAUCUCAUUGAAGCUUUGUUUUACAAUUAAGGCCCGUAGGCAAACGUUAGGGUCAUUUAAUUUGCGUGUGUUUGCUUUUUGCUCGCUUUUACAUAUUAUGUAUUCAUUCUCGGGUGGGAUGUCCCGGAAGAAAACUAAAAUGUAAAAAUGGAGGCCGCGGUUACGGUGAUAAAAUUAGGGGUAAUGUCGUUUUCUUUAUACUCUUCUCUGUUUGGAUAUUCUGCUUUGUUGUAAUUAAUGGAGGUCUUGUUAAUUUAAUUAUUCGGUCGUA